CUCCGUUUGAGGUCGCCGUUUCCCACAAGCCCCCGGGGCAGGGACCUCGCCGGCGCAGUUGUCGGGCUGGGACUGCGCGGGUGCUGCGGUCCCCAUUCCUAAUUCAAAGGCUGCUGUCUAACUCCCAGUGAGAAAUGAGGAAAAACAAAUUGCAAAAGAUGAUUAGAGACUAUACUUUAUAGAGAACUCUGCAUAUUUACCAGGUUUUGCAAAAAAAAAUUUGGUAAGGUACAAUAUAUAAAAUAGUGAGACUUGACGUGCCUUUUAAGAGAAGAAAGAUGCGUGAAGACUGUCCUGCACUUGGUGCAUUCAUAUGGUUUUUCUCCAGCAGAAACUUUCUUGUGCAGGCAGGCCUCGGUUGUCCAAACGAUGCACAUUUCAUAGGACUUUCGGAAAAGCCUUCCACCAGCUACUGCAGAAAAUGGAUUCUGUGACUGUAAAAACCAAUGGCCGGGCGCAGUGGCUCACACCUGUCAUCCCAGCACUUUGGGAGGCCGAGGAGGGCGGAUCACGAGGUCAGGAGGUCGAGAUCAUCCUAGCUAUCUCUACUAAAAAUGCAAAAAAUUAGCCGGGCGUGGUGACGGGUGCCUGUAGUCCCAGCUACUGGGGAGGCGGAGCUUCGAGUGCGCGCUACUGCACUCCAGCCUGGGCGACAGAGCAAGACUCCGUCUCAAAAAAAAAAAAAAAAACCAAAAAAAUAACAACAACAAUGAAAUGUGCACGUUAAAUGGCUGUACGUUCUAUAUGUCAGUAAAGCUGGUUUUUAAAAAACAUAAAGAAUGUGAAGUUCACUGUCUUCCUCAAAAACAUGAUACACAAAAUGAAGACGCCCAUGACCUCACCUCUAGUCAACGUUAUACUAGUUCCAGCACCACCAGGAAAUAUACAAGAA
rnacentral:lncRNA from 1 species